GGAAUGGCUACCCACUGCAGUAUUCUUGCCUGGAGAGUUCCAUGGAUAGAGGAGUUGGGUUCCCUGCAUCUUAAGAGAUACCUCAGAAGAACCAUAGGAUUCUGUAUAAUAAGAAUUGGAACUCUGCCAUCAGACCCUCAGACAUGGGAGAGAUCUUCAAGGACUGGUAACUGGUUAUCUAUCAGCCUCUUCAGCAAGAACUCUGACAAGAAAAAUUGGAAUUACCUGCCUUUGGGUCAUUCAGAACACACUCUUGAAAGGGAGAGUUGAGUUAAUUAAGCUGGAACCACAAACGUGUUAAACAGAGAGGAGGAGAAGAGGGCAUUGAGGAUCAUCCAUUCUGGCAGGAAGUCAGUAGCAUAGAUGAAGCUAAGCUUUUCAAAUUCUCAUCCCUAGUUCCUUCUCCCCACCUACCUUCAAGGUGGUGUUAAGGGGCUGCACAUACAGUUCAGUGGUGCUGCUACUGCCAAGUCCUGUCUCAGACUUCCUCUUGAUUUACCUUCAAGACUUUCGUUCACUAUUUUGACAUCCUAAGUAAGGGUGAACCUUAUAGCACGUGAUGGCCAAAAAUGACUAGCACCAAGACAAGUAAACAAAAUAAAUUACAUAGGAAAAAAAUGCUGGUUGCAGAGGUGAGAAUAAAUAAUCAAAUAGCUAGAAAUAUUUCCUUAUGUUACCCGCUUCUGAACAGCAGCAGUGUUCAAUUGGGGACACUUUCCCCCAAAGGUGAUGCUUUGAAUGGGAGCAUUUAUAUUUGAACAUAAUUAUAAUAAGUUAUAA